GAAAUGCGAUACGUAGUGUGAAUUGCAGAAUUCCGUGAACCAUCGAAUCUUUGAACGCAAAUUGCGCUCGAGGCUUCGGCCAAGAGCAUGUCUGCCUCAGCGUCGGCUACUACCCUCAACUAAGUUUCCUAUCAUUGAUAGGGGAUGCCAGUUGGAUCUGGCCGUCCGGCUUGCCUUUCAGGUUGCCGGUCAGCUGAAAUACAUUCACGCUCUGGGGGCUGCUUUCCUCGAAAGGCUACUUUCGAGGGGAGGUGAGUUCCGAUUUGGUAGGUGACCUUUGCCGGUUGCAUGCCUUCGUUGCCCGCUAAGCUUCCCAGUAGUCGUUGUGCAGGACGCCUUUUGGCUUUCGACCUGAGGUCAGGCAAGAACACCCGCUGAACUUAA
rnacentral:misc_RNA from 1 species